CUUGGUCAUUUAGUGGAAGUAAAAGUCGUAACAAGGUUUCCGUAGGUGAACCUGCGGAAGGAUCAUUAUUGAAUUUUGAAGGGGGUUGUAGCUGAUCCUUUGAGAUAUGUGCACACCUCUAUCCGAAUCCUAUACCACUGUGCACCUUUUGUAGGCUGACAUUGUUUGUUGGUCUAUGCCUUUUCAAUACACCACUGUCAUAAAAGUUUUAGAAUGCUAUUUGAAAAAAUUUUAUACAACUUUCAACAACGGAUCUCUUGGCUCUCGCAUCGAUGAAGAACGCAGCGAAAUGCGAUAAGUAAUGUGAAUUGCAGAAUUCAGUGAAUCAUCGAAUCUUUGAACGCACCUUGCGCUCCUUGGUAUUCCGAGGAGCAUGCCUGUUUGAGUGUCAUUAAAUUCUCAAACCUCUCUCUCUAUUUAUAGGGAGAGAGUCCUUUGGACUUGGAGUGUUGCUGGCUUCAUUUGUCAGCUCCUCUCAAAUGCAUUAGCUUGUUACCCUUGUGGAUAGGCUUUGGUUUGAUAAUGUCUAUGUCAUUGCCAUGAAACAAAUGUCAGCUUCUAAUAAAUAAAUCAUUCAUAAAAUUUGACCUCAAAUCAGGUAGGACUACCCGCUGAACUUAAGCAUAUCA
rnacentral:rRNA from 1 species